AAAACCCCGCAGGGAGCACCCGUUGGUGGAGGGUCGCAGCACUUCAGCUGUGAGGAAGUUAGGUGCUGGUAGUUACAACUCACUUGUCACUCAGUCGGUAGAGCACUACGCUUGCAAACGCCAGGAUAGUGGGUUCCAUUUCCCCACGUCACGUGUAUGUAAACGUGUACGCACACAUGACUAAAAGUGGAUCUGGAUGAAAACGUCUGCUAAAUGUCAGAUACAGUGGUGUUACUUAGGCCUUUUCCCCCUUGAGGAGCAUGUGGCAUCAACAGCAGCGCUCUUACAUAGAACAACAACUUUAAACAGGGUUCGAUGGAUCAAACUAAAACACACACACACUCAAACGUAGGUUAUCGUUUAGUUUUGUCUGCCGAGCCCAAUGGUAGGUUAUCGUGUAGUUCUGUCUGCCGAGCCCAAUGGUAGGUUAUCGUGUAGUUCUGUCUGCCGAGCCCAAUGGUAGGUUAUCGUGUAGUUCUGUCUGCCGAGCCCAAUGGUAGGUUAUCGUGUAGUUCUGUCUGCCGAGCCCAAUGGUAGGUUAUCGUGUAGUUCUGUCUGCCGAGCCCAAUGGUAGGUUAUCGUGUAGUUCUGUCUGCCGAGCCCAAUGGUAGGUUAUCGUGUAGUUCUGUCUGCCGAGCCCAAUGGUAGGUUAUCGUGUAGUUCUGUCUGCCGAGCCCAAUGGUAGGUUAUCGUCUAGUUCUCUGCCGAGCCCAAUGGUAGGUUAUCGUGUAGUUUUGUCUGCCGAGCCCAAUGGUAGGUUAUCGUUUAGUUCUGUCUGUCGAGCCCAAUGGCAGGUUAUCGUGUAGUUCUGUCUGCCGAGCCCAAUGGUAGGUUAUCGUG